rnacentral:rRNA from 1 species
UUAUACCUACGGGGCGCAGCAGUAGGGAAUAUUGCUCAAUGGGGGAAACCCUGAAGCAGCAACGCCGCGUGGAGGAUGAAGGUUUUCGGAUUGUAAACUCCUUUUGUUAGAGAAGAUAAUGACGGUAUCUAACGAAUAAGCACCGGCUAACUCCGAGCCAGCAGACGCGGUAAUACGGAGGGUGCAAGCGUUACUCGGAAUCACUGGGCGUAAAGAGCGCGUAGGCGGGAUAGCAAGUCAGAUGUGAAAUCCUAUGGCUUA